AACGAACGCUGGCGGCGUGCCUAACACAUGCAAGUCGAGCGAGAAAGCCCGCAAGGGUGAGUAAAGCGGCGCACGGGUGAGUAACACGUGGGUAAUCUUCCCUGAAAUCUGGGAUAACUCCCCGAAAGGGGUGCUAAUACCGGAUAAGACCACGGGAGCUUCGGCUCCUGCGGGAAAAGGUGGCCUCUGUACACAAGCUAUUGUUUCGGGAUGAGCCCGCGGCCCAUCAGCUAGUUGGCGGGGUAACGGCCCACCAAGGCUACGACGGGUAGCUGGUCUGAGAGGACGAUCAGCCACACUGGAACUGAGACACGGUCCAGACUCCUACGGGAGGCAGCAGUGGGGAAUCUUGCGCAAUGGGCGAAAGCCUGACGCAGCAACGCCGCGUGUGUGAUGAAGGUCUUCGGAUCGUAAAGCACUGUCGGGAGGGACGAAUAAGGCGGCGGCUAACAUCCGCAGCCGAUGACGGUACCUCCAAAGGAAGCACCGGCUAACUCUGUGCCAGCAGCCGCCGUAAUAC
rnacentral:rRNA from 1 species